rnacentral:rRNA from 1 species
UACAGAGGUCCCGAGCGUUGUUCGGAUUCACUGGGCGUAAAGGGUGCGUAGGUGGCAUGUUAAGUUUGAUGUGAAAGCUCAGGGCUUAACCCUGAAAUGGCAUUGAAUACUAGCUGUGCUGGAGGUUUGGAGGGGGGGACUGGAAUUCUCGGUGUAGCAGUGAAAUGCGUAGAUAUCGAGAGGAACACCAGUGGCGAAGGCGAGUCCCUGGACAACACCUGACACUGAGGCACGAAAGCCGGGGGAGCAAACAGG